rnacentral:rRNA from 1 species
CUAGCGGCGGACGGGUGAGUAAUGCUUAGGAAUCUGCCUAUUAGUGGGGGACAACAUUCCGAAAGGAAUGCUAAUACCGCAUACGUCCUACGGGAGAAAGCAGGGGAUCAUUUGACCUUGCGCUAAUAGAUGAGCCUAAGUCGGAUUAGCUAGUUGGUGGGGUAAAGGCCUACCAAGGCGACGAUCUGUAGCGGGUCUGAGAGGAUGAUCCGCCACACUGGGACUGAGACACGGCCCAGACUCCUACGGGAGGCAGCAGUGGGGAAUAUUGGACAAUGGGGGGAACCCUGAUCCAGCCAUGCCGCGUGUGUGAAGAAGGCCUUUUGGUUGUAAAGCACUUUAAGCGAGGAGGAGGCUCUCUUGGUUAAUACCUGAGAAGAGUGGACGUUACUCGCAGAAUAAGCACCGGCUAACUCUGUGCCAGCAGCCGCGGUAAUACAGAGGGUGCGAGCGUUAAUCGGAUUUACUGGGCGUAAAGCGCGCGUAGGUGGCUAAUUAAGUCAAAUGUGAAAUCCCCGAGCUUAACUUGGGAAUUGCAUUCGAUACUGGUUGGCUAGAGUAUGGGAGAGGAUGGUAGAAUUCCAGGUGUAGCGGUGAAAUGCGUAGAGAUCUGGAGGAAUACCGAUGGCGAAGGCAGCCAUCUGGC